CUUGAAAAGAAUGUGUAUUCUGUUUUAGGAUGGAAUAAUGUGCUAGGCCUUGUUUUUCCAUGUUUUAAGUAACAGAUACAUAGCAUCUUAUAUUACGACAUAUUAGCAUUUUUAGACACUCAAUAUAAUACACUGUAUUA